rnacentral:rRNA from 1 species
UAUMUGGAGGRAAGGUGGGUAUGACGUCAAGUCAUCAUGGCCCUUACGGCCAGGGUCACACACGUACUACAAUGGUAGGGACAGAGGGCUGCAAGCCGGCGACGGUGAGCCAAUCCCAGAAACCCUAUCUCAGUCCGGAUUGGAGUCUGCAACUCGACUCCAUGAAGUCGGAAUCGCUAGUAAUCGCAGAUCAGCAUUGCUGCGGUGAAUACGUUCCCGGGCCUUGUACACACCGCCCGUCACACCAUGGGAGUUUGUUGCACCAGAAGCAGGUAGCUUAACCUUCGGGAGGGCGCUUGCCACGGUGUGGCCGAUGACUGGGGUGAAGUCKAACAACGAGCRG